AUCUUGAGAAAAUCAUCAAUAUU
rnacentral:snRNA from 1 species